GUAAUUAAGUGCAUGUGGUGGAUGCCUUGGCAGUCAGAGGCGAUGAAAGACGUGAUAGCCUGCGAAAAGCUCCGGGGAGGCGGCAAAUAUCCUUUGAUCCGGAGAUGUCUGAAUGGGGGAACCCACCUACUUUAAGGUAGGUAUUGCAACAUGAAUACAUAGUGUUGCAAGGCGAACGAGGGGAAGUGAAACAUCUCAGUACCCUUAGGAAAAGAAAUCAAUUGAGAUUCCCUCAGUAGCGGCGAGCGAACGGGGAUCAGCCCAUUAAGUUAUGUGUGUUUUAGUGGAACGCUCUGGGAAGUGCGAACGUAGAGGGUGAUAUUCCCGUACACGAAAGGGCACACAUAAUGAUGACGAGUAGGGCGAGGCACGUGAAACCUUGUCUGAAUAUGGGGGGACCAUCCUCCAAGGCUAAAUACUCCUGACUGACCGAUAGUGAACCAGUACCGUGAGGGAAAGGCGAAAAGAACCCCUGUGAGGGGAGUGAAAUAGAUCCUGAAACCGCAUGCAUACAAGCAGUGGGAGCACCUUCGUGGUGUGACUGCGUACCUUUUGUAUAAUGGGUCAGCGACUUAUAUUCAGUAGCGAGGUUAACCGUAUAGGGGAGCCGUAGAGAAAUCGAGUCUUAAUAGGGCGUUUAGUUGCUGGGUAUAGACCCGAAACCAGGCGAUCUAUCCAUGAGCAGGUUGAAGGUUGGGUAACACUAACUGGAGGACCGAACCCACUGUCGUUGAAAAGCCAGGGGAUGACUUGUGGAUAGGGGUGAAAGGCUAAUCAAGCCUGGUGAUAGCUGGUUCUCCCCGAAAGCUAUUUAGGUAGCGCCUCGGACGAAUACCAUAGGGGGUAGAGCACUGUUUCGGCUAGGGGGUCAUCCCGACUUACCAAACCGAUGCAAACUCCGAAUACCUAUGAGUACUAUCCGGGAGACAGACUGCGGGUGCUAACGUCCGUAGUCAAGAGGAAAACAAUCCAGACCGCCAGCUAAGGCCCCAAAAUCAUAGUUAAGUGGGAAACGAUGUGGGAAGGCAUAGACAGCUAGGAGGUUGGCUUAGAAGCAGCCACCCUUUAAAGAAAGCGUAAUAGCUCACUAGUCGAGUCGGCCUGCGCGGAAGAUGUAACGGGGCUAAAACUAUGUGCCGAAGCUGCGGAUGUAUACUUUGUAUACGUGGUAGGGGAGCGUUCUGUAAGCCGAUGAAGGUGUGUUGAGAAGCAUGCUGGAGGUAUCAGAAGUGCGAAUGCUGACGUGAGUAACGACAAAACGGGUGAAAAACCCGUUCGCCGAAAGACCAAGGGUUCCAGUCCAACGUUAAUCGGGGCUGGGUGAGUCGACCCCUAAGGCGAGGCCGAAAGGCGUAGUCGAUGGGAAAAUGGUUAAUAUUCCAUUACUUCUGUGUAAUGCGAUGAGAGGACGGAGAAGGCUAAAUCAGCCUGGCGUUGGUUGUCCAGGUGAAAGGAUGUAGGCAUGUAUCUUAGGCAAAUCCGGGGUACUCUAUGCUGAGAUCUGAUAGCAAGCUGUAC
rnacentral:rRNA from 1 species